rnacentral:rRNA from 1 species
UACGAGGGGUGCAAGCGUUGCUCGGAAUUAUUGGGCGUAAAGGGUAGGUAGGUGGUCUCAUUUGUCUGGGGUGAAAGCCUCGAGCUUAACUCGAGAAGUGCCUCGGAAACGGUGAGACUAGAGUCUUGGAGAGGGUCGUGGAAUUCCUGGUGUAGCGGUGAAAUGCGUAGAUAUCAGGAGGAACACCGGCGGUGUAGACGGCUUUCUGGACCGUAGCUGACGCUGAGACACGAAAGCGUGGGUAGCAAACAGG